rnacentral:snoRNA from 1 species
AGCACUGUUGUAUCUGCAGCCAGCUGCUCCAUCAGCUGGUUUGUUUAAAUGCCGGUGCUAAAGAAACUCAGCGUCAGGCAUCGUUGGUCUCCUCUCUGCCGUGUCUGGAGUCCUGGUAUCGAUGCUGAAACAUAC